AUACUUACCUGGCAGGGGAGAGACCACAAUCAAGAAGGUGGUUCUCCCAGGGUGAGGCUUUUUCCUUUGCACUUUGGAGGGAUUGACUCCUGUGAUUACCCCAAAUGUGGGAAACUCAUCUGCAUAAUUUAUGGUAGUAGGGGACUGCAGUUGUGCUGUCCCCUG